UCUGGAAAUUUGUAAUACCAACAGUUCACUGUGAUAGAAAUACAACUGACAUUGUAUUUCUAUCACCGUGAACUGUUGGUAUUACAAAUACGU